GGUCCGCUGGCUAAAUGGCAGAGCGUCUGACUACGAUCCUGAGUCUCGACUAGUCCGAGUCUUGACAAAAGAAGUUAUCAGGAGGUUCCAGGUUCGACACCCUGGGUGGAUCG